AUAGAGAAGAAUUUUAUUUUAUUAGGAUACUAAAUUGUACCUCUUUGAGCUCAAAUACAGUAGAAAAACAAAGAGAAUUUGUUGUUCCAUGAUUAUCUAACAUAUUAGACACCAUAGUUCAACCCAAGAAACUUCCUAAUUUAAUUAGGAUAAAAUUAAUUAUUCCAGACAAGUAUUAUUGCCCAAAAAGCGAUCAGAUGGAAUUCUCCUGACUUUCACUUCCUACGAAGAAAGUAAGCUUUUGAUUGCCAUUUCAAUGGUGGGAUUGGUAAGACUAUAACCUCCAUCAACCAACAGAUUCAGCCCACUCACAUACUUGGACUCAUCACUUACCAAAUACAAAGCUGCCUCUGCUAUAUCUUCUGCUUGCAACACAGCCUGCUUCAAGUUCCCUGCAGCAGAAACUGCUUCCUGAAUCUUCUCAUGCUCCAUCCCCAUUGCCCCAAUACCUUCCUUUAGCAGUGGGGUUACAACUGCAUAUGGCGAGACACAAUUGACCCUAAUCCCAUAUUGGCCCAACCCCACACUAAGAUUCUUGGCCAAACCAACCACAGCAUGCUUUGAUGUAACAUACGCAUGCAUACCCUGAAAGCAAGUCACUGAAAGAUUGCUUGCAGUGAAGAGAAUAGAGCCUUUCUUCGCAGGAAUCAUGACCCUGGCAGCGUGUUUGGCUGCCAAGAAACCACCAAACACAUUGACAUCGAAAACCCUUUUGAAUUCUUCAUUGUCUGUGCCUAAAAUGCCAACUGUAUUGCCUGGAUGUCCAGCAUUGCUAUACAUGAUAUCAAGCUUUCCAUACUUUGAGGCGGCCAAAUCCACAGCAUUUUGAACAUCAGAAUCACAUGUUACAUCGCAAUGAACAUAAGUGAUAAUUUCCUCUGAGCCCAGGUCUUGGCAAAGAGAUUGACCAAGAUCAUCUUGAACAUCUGCAACAAUGACCUUGGCUCCAUGUUUAAGAAACAACCUUGCAGUUGCCGCACCAAUUCCGCUAGCUCCACCGGUUAUCAAAGCCACCUUUCCUUCUAGCCUCUUGGUGCUCAUCUUGAUUCCCUGAAAAUGAAUUAAAGACAAUAGCUGUUGAAUUUUCCUUCACUAGAGUGCAAGGAAUAUAUAGAUAGCUUUAGAUAAGGAAAUGAA
rnacentral:misc_RNA from 1 species